rnacentral:lncRNA from 1 species
UAUUAACCCAAAAUAAUAUUAACCAUUGCCACUCAUGAUGGCUUACCAAUCAAAAUAUACAUAUAUGGUUUAAGGCAUGUAUCUUAGAACUUUACAUCACAUGUACGUAUUUACAAACAAAAAUAACUCUGGGCUUCCAGCGAAGUGACUAAGGUGAAGGUGCGGCUACGGAAUGCCAAAAUACCUACCAAGGAUACGAAUCUACGAGAACACCUCGACCUAGUUACCGGUUGCCUCUUGAUCUGAAAACAUGAAGUUGAAAACGGUGAGUAUAAACCCAGUGAGUGAACAAAGAAAGAGAACAAGCAACGAUAAGGAAAGUUGAUAAUCAUGAUGCACUUAUUCGAAAACAAUGCAACUUAGUUCAAGUUCUUAUUAAAAUCCCUCCAUUAAACCUUUGGUUAUUAAAUCAUUUAAUGAUGAAGGAACCAUAUUCAGCAUGAAGUUGGAAAGAGAGGAAAUUUCCAGCAAUCAUCCAAGCAAGGCAGCAUAAACAGAAUGUUUCUUGCUGCAAUAAAAUCAAUUUGCAAGUAAACGGAAAAUUUUCAUGAUUCAUCAUGCCAUACAAUCACAUAUUACAACCAUGAUCUUUCUAUUGCAUAUACAUAUACUUAAGCACAUAUCAAUUCAUAUACCACCCUAUCUCACCCAGUUCAUAUGCAUUCUCUCACAUCGUGCACAUAGCCGGACACCCCAUCUCAUGUGCAUCCCCCCACAUCGUGCACAUAGCCGGAGUCAUCGUGUACAUCCCCCCACAUCGUGCACAUGGGCAGUAUCACUAUCCAUCUCCUUCACCACCGUCAUCACCGACAAGUGCAAACUCACCCCACACAUGCACGGUUUCAUUUGUCACACAAUGGUACCAUUUAGGACAUAGUAUAUAUAUAUAUAUAUAUAUAUAUAUAUAUAUAUANACCAUUUAGGACAUAAUAUAUAUAUAUAUAUAUAUAUAUAUAUAUAUAUAAUAUCAACAUUAUACAAAAACAUAUGAAUUUAUCACACUAUCCAUUUCAUAACAUGAAAACAUUUCAUAAGGGCUUGUUCCUGCACAAGUUUUGAAGAAAGAACCAAAUAAAACGUUUGAGAGGAUUCAAUCAAACAUAUAUGUGUAUAUCCCAAAACCUUUUAAUGCAAGUUCACUCAUCGGUAUUUGUUAAAUCCUUACUUAAUUCCAACUUCCUCUAAUGGUCCAAAUAGGGCAGUGGAGCUUCGUUGGAACUUAUCAUUGUAAUAGCAUCACAAUUAACUCAAUUCACAUAAAUAUGGUUCUAGAAGCUAUCUCCUAAAUUAUGUUCUGUUAGUUAUUCCUAGCUAAUUUCCAACUACCAUUAAGUGGCUAUCUAUUUUCACUACUCUAAUCACACUAAAUUGAAUAAAUCCUUAACUACAAAACACUCACAGAUCUAACCACCAGUCAUUCUUAACAACUAAAAAUAUCAACUCAAUUUCAAUACUCACCUUGCUAGCUUUGUAGUUAGAUUCCUCGUAAAGAAUUCCCAAACUAUUAUAGAGAGUAUUUCUCUCUCUCUCUCUCUAAAACACAUAGCUAGUGAGUGAAAGUAUUAGUUUAAGACUUUAGAGGGUUUUUAAGGUGAAAGAGUAAAAGAGCACACAGGGCUUGUGAAAAGAUGCACAAAAACAUGAAAUUUGAAACUAACUUGAGAGAGUUAUGGAAGCUUGAAGAGAUCUCCCAUGGAGGAUGAAGAAACGUGAGAUUAAGAGAAAGAUGGGAAGAAGAAGCUGC